rnacentral:rRNA from 1 species
UGGGGAAUAUUGGACAAUGGGCGAAAGCCUGAUCCAGCCAUGCCGCGUGUGUGAAGAAGGUCUUCGGAUUGUAAAGCACUUUAAGUUGGGAGGAAGGGCAUUAACCUAAUACGUUAGUGUUUUGACGUUACCGACAGAAUAAGCACCGGCUAACUCUGUGCCAGCAGCCGCGGUAAUACAGAGGGUGCAAGCGUUAAUCGGAAUUACUGGGCGUAAAGCGCGCGUAGGUGGUUUGUGAAGUUGGAUGUGAAAUCCCCGGGCUCAACCUGGGAACUGCAUUCAAAACUGACUGACUAGAGUAUGGUAGAGGGUGGUGGAAUUUCCUGUGUAGCGGUGAAAUGCGUAGAUAUAGGAAGGAACACCAGUGGCGAAGGCGACCACCUGGACUAAUACUGACACUGAGGUGCGAAAGCGUGGGGAGCAAACA